rnacentral:lncRNA from 1 species
UCCGAUUUGUGCGCGAUUUGGUGAGUAAUCUCACUAAUCCUGGAUUAGUUGGCUAAUUAUGCUUAGGGUUGGUUUAGUUUUAAUUAAUUAUGUUUAGGUUGUUAGAUUAGAAUAAAUUAGCAAUUAUUAGUCAAUUGUGAUGUGAUUUAGAUAAAUUGAUUGCGCAAUUAACAAGUAGACGUGGUCUACUAUUUAUUGGAAGUAUCUCGGAAAUUUUCCGACCCCAAAUGGGGCUUCAAUUUGGCAAUUCGGGCCUAAGUGUGAUUUUUGGCAUUUAAAUAUCAUUUUUCGGAAUUAAAUUAAUUAUUUAUUUAUUUUCCGAAAAUUCAACUGAGAUGGUCCGGAACCGGAAUUUUAUGCUGAUGACUGUGGUGAAGUCCGUUUAUUUAAUUGGACUUUAUUUUGUGCUAAAUUGAAUUUUUAAUAUUAAUUAUUUAAUUUUCGAAAUUAAUAAAUAAAUUAAUUAUUUUUCGGAAAUUAAGAUUUUGAUGGCCGACGAUCGAAAUCCCGUGCUGAUUGUCGUGGCGCGGUCCGUUUAUUUAUUUGAGCUCCAUGUUGUAUGGAAUUAAAUAAAUUGUGAUAUUUUAGAGAUUUACUCUAAAUUGAUUGGAAUUGAUUGAGACUGAAUUAUGGAUUGGUAAAUGGCGUGGUUAAAUUCUGCAAUUGAGUGUUAAAUUAUGCAAAUGGAGUGCUGAUUGGAUUCUUGGUAUUUAAUUCCAAAAUUUGUGGAUUUUGAUAUUUAUUCAGAAAAUCCCGGGUGUCGGGUUUUAACACCGAAAAUGGAUUUUUAGUACUAUAUCAAAUAGUGGGGUUUGAAAAAGAUAAGUAUCAGUCUUCUGGUUCGAAUUGACCGUGUACCCACACGACUAUUUUCGGGAUGUUUUUAAUACGAAGGAAAUAGGCCAGGAUCACUAUUUUAACGGAGGCAUUUGAGUGCAAUGCAAAGGGUCCUAGGCCGAUAUUGAGUGGCCGUGUGUUGGUUAAGAGAACCAGUCUCGAGCAAUUAUGCCGGACGUUACUAAAUCCCUUUUUGGGUUACCCAUGCAUUAGGGUAGCGGGUCGCAGUAGAUUCUGGACCUAUGCCCCUUCGGGGAAGCCGUCUAAUUGAGAGACGUUGCCGUGCUCACGGGGAGAGACGACGCCUGGCAAUGCCAGAAGACCGCCAAUAGAGUUGGCCGUACCCUUGAGGGGUGUAAUUAACAAUUGGAACGCAUGAUGGUUGAGUUUGAUGCGCCGGAUUAUGAGACAAAAUUGUGUGACAUGGAAUGGGACGUGUCAUAACGAUUUGGCCCUAUAAUCUGGACCCUUGUGAUUUAUUGAGUUGAGUGAUGCGUUUCAAUUGCUGGAUGUAUCGAUUCUAUACGUAAGGUAUGUGAAUUGUACUGACUUGCAGGUGGAAUCUGAGGCCAAGGUAAGUCAUCUGCCCUAUGCGUGUUUAGGCAGCCUAUAGUAUAAUGGUUUACUAAUCGGGCUUAGUGGGGUAGAACUCGCUGAGACGUAGUCUCAUCCCAGUUUGGGGAAAACAUUUCAGGACUCUGUUGAGGAGCUGAGGAGGAGGAGUUUGAGAAGGAGAACUCGAAGGCGAACUUGAGGAAAAUGAUUUUUGGAAGAAGAAGAUAAUUCCGAAGGGGGUUUUGAGUAUGACCCGGAUGGAUUGAGAUCCCAUCUUCUUUUGUGAACUUCAAUUGAUGUGAAUAGAGUUUAGAGUAAAAAGUUGUGAAGUGCUUUGAUUUGUGUUUUGCAUAAAAGUUUGGUUAUAAGUUUCAAUAUGAGAAAUAUGGCCAUGCUUUUCUAUCCCAUUGUUUUAUUGUCUGGGGAUUUUAAUUGCUUCCGCAUGUGCUUAAAUAAUGAAAGGGUCGGCGAUACAUAGUCCUGGGAUAUCGCAUUAUAAAAUCGACCAAGAGUAGAAGGAUGUGUGCGUGCCCGAGGAUCGGGGCGUGACA